rnacentral:rRNA from 1 species
UACGGGGGGGGGCAAGCGUUUGUUCGGAAUUACUGGGCGUAAAGGGCUCGUAGGCGGCCAACUAAGUCGGAUGUGAAAUCCCCAGGCUCAACCUGGGAACUGCAUCCGAUACUGGAUGGCUUGAAUUCGGGAGAGGGAUGCAGAAUUCCAGGUGUAGCGGUGAAAUGCGUAGAUAUCUGGAGGAAUACCGGUGGCGAAGGCGGCAUCCUGGACCGACAUUGACGCUGAUGAGCGAAAGCUAAGGGAGCAAACGGG